UUUUGAAAUGUCUUUAGUGCAGGUUGUAUUAAUAUGGGAUUUAAAGAAGAUGGGUGGAUAUUGAGGAGCAAACCUGAAGUAAUAAUUGCCUCAAUUUAUUUCUCAGGAACCAAAAUUAGAGACAAAUGUGUCCCCUGUCUCCUUUCUGGAAGCACAGCCUCCUCAAAGCAGCUAUGCUUAAUUCAGAUACAAAGCCCUUAUCCCUCCCGGGUCCACCUGCAGCCCCGCCGCUUUCAUCAUUUCUCCCUGGAAUUCAUUCGGAUCAUAGUCGUUUUCAAGAGUGCGUGGAGACCAAGAGAGACGCCCUAAGUCCCUGGCUGGGGCCGCGGGCGUGAGUCAGCGUGGACCAGGCCGGCUGGGGCCGCGGGCGUG
rnacentral:lncRNA from 1 species